ensembl:lncRNA
CUUACUUUUGAUUUGCUCUUUCCCUCUGGAAAAGAUUCCCCCAGGAAAGCCAAACUCUAGAAGGAAAUACAGCAAAUCCAGUGAAAUCUUCAACUUUAAGUACAUCUUGUAUUCUUUUAAUUUUAAUGCGUUUAUGUCGUCUAACCUGGCAAAAGAACUCUCCCCUCAGUUUUUAUUUCCUCCUUUUAAAUACUGUUAUUUUCAACUUUCCAUCAAAUGCAUUUUGACGAGGGCUGAGAAUGUGUCCGGCAGCACGCAGCAAAUCAGAGGUUUUAUCUUACGCCUCCUGGGACGGAUCAAUUGUGAGAGGCCCUGAUGUCUCAGAGGAAAAUAUUGCAACAAAACAAGAUAAUUGGGGGAAAGGCGGCUGCAGUAAGAAAAGUGGCUUUUCUUUGAUAACGUUUAAUUGGAAUUAAAAGAUUCUUGAGCUGUAAACAUUCUUUGUUUAUUCAGCACACAUAAGCAGGCAUUGUUUUAUCACCAUCAUAAUUAUGGUGUCCUUUAAACUGGUUGAUAGCAGGAAAGAUAAGGGAAUGUGCCUGUAGAUUCACAUCAGGUCUUGCUCCUUUCUUUCUUUUCCUUCCUCCCUCCCUCCCCUCUGUCUUUACUACCCUCCCCCCCAUUCCUUCCUUGGUCACUAGGGUCCCCACAGCCCUUGAGAUGAGGAAAGCAGGGAAGAUUGUGGCCUAACCAUUUCUUACAUCAUGAAAGUGAUUUGUACCACACCUAAUUUGAUGCCAUCUAUAACCUUCUUGUCUCCCAUGUUUAUAACUGCUUUUUAGCUUGCAAUAUGUGUUAUCUGAAGAGUUGCCUAUUGCUCACCUGUAUAAAAUCUUGUCCACUAGGGUUUGUUGCUUUACCUUUGUCUAAUUUAGAAAGCAUACUCUUAGGGCUUUUUCAGAACAAAGCCUCACAAAAACCCCUUUACCUCCAAGGAUUUGCAAAUUUAUAAAGGCUGCAUUGAAUUGAAGAUGGGUCAGGGGGCAAAAAAAGGGUAGAAGGUCACUGCAUUUUGAUUAUGGGUCAGUAGACAACAUGGCAUAUAUUCUGUGUCCCAAAUUUCUGUUAAAAACGGGAUUUUUAAAUGCCUAAGAACAGAAGGAUGGGCCCUUUUGGAGACUUGCCCUGAUUUGUUUGGAUGAGACAAAAAAGAAAAAAUUAAGGAACAUGUACUAAGUUAUAAUUUAAGUUGUUCCUUAAUUUAGCUCUUUCCUCCUCCUCCAUUCUCAUUUUCCCUUCCCCCCCCAAAACAGAGAACAUGAUAUUACAUAAAUUUAGGUAAGGAACUGUCGCUCUCACACAAGAUUUUAUUGUCCUAUAUCCUCAAUUAACUCAGCAGUAUAAGAAUUUAAAUUAUUAUUAUUUGAGACUUUGUUAUGUCCUAAGUAUUAUAGUUACUUUUGGCUAACAGUACAAGGAGACUUCUUUCAUUCUAACCAGUAUACUUACAUUGUUGAGGCCUUUGUGAUGCUCCUUAGUCUCUUCUGUCUGAAUUCACUUUGAACAAAAUGUGCCAGCAAUCACUGAAACAAAUGUAUAUGGUGAAGAGUUAGGUGAGGGUGGUGGGGUUUGGGGGCAGGGGGGUGAUCCUCAUUUAAAUUAUGCAUGUAUGGGUGAAGGCUGGGAAGGGAAAGGAUUAUUUUAAUGCUCUUCAAUACUUUAAUUAUAUGACAGUUGUAGUGUAGAAAUGCAAAAGUACUCUUAGGUUUUCCUUCAGGUUUUCAAAAGAACUUUCCCCAUUAGUAAACUACUUCUGCAAAUUGCUAUUGCAUUUCCCAGCUAACCAUUUAAAAGACUGUAAAUGCCGUGUGCAUUACUUCGCUCCAGAGGAAAGAGGUCAGACUGAAUUGCAGUGGUAUUUAAACAUAAAAUACAGUGAAAAUAAAUCAAAGUAGAACAUUUGAAGAUAAAUUUAG